UACAGAGGUCCCAAGCGUUGUUCGGAUUCACUGGGCGUAAAGGGUGCGUAGGUGGCAUGGUAAGUUUGAUGUGAAAGCUCAGGGCUUAACCCUGAAAUGGCAUUGAAUACUACUGUGCUGGAGGUUUGGAGGGGGGACUGGAAUUCUCGGUGUAGCAGUGAAAUGCGUAGAUAUCGAGAGGAACACCAGUGGCGAAGGCGAGUCCCUGGACAACACCUGACACUGAGGCACGAAAGCCGGGGGAGCAAACAGG
rnacentral:rRNA from 1 species